rnacentral:rRNA from 1 species
AUGGCGUCCACCAAGGCUCUCUUCGUGCUCGCCGUUCUCCUCGCGUCCGCCGUCCUCCUCGUCGCCGCCGCCACUGAGCAAAAUCAUGACAAGGAGGGGAAGGUGGACACCAACGGUGCCGGCGUCCAGGACGGCUGGGGUGGCGGCGGCCGCGGCGGAGGGUACCCGGGCCGCGGGGGCGGCGGCUACGGGCCCUGCGGCCGGUGGGGCUGCUGCCGCCGUGGGUACCACGGCGACUGCAUCCGGUGCUGCAGGGCCGCCAACGACGUCCCGGAGGCCAUGGACCGCACCGAGGUGCACAACUAG